rnacentral:misc_RNA from 1 species
AAUUAAUAAUGGAUUAUGCAAAAUUUUUGAUGCUGUGAUCAACAGUCCCAUUUAGUUUUCAGGAUAAAGUUCUUUCACUGACUGUAUUCUGUGCUAGUAUCUAGAUCUUAUUUUGUAUGCCAAUUAUGGGGGUUGAUAGUUUUUGUUGAAUUUGGAAGCGAUUGAUGAGGGGGAAAACUGCAGUUUUUUCCUUUUAUAUAGUAUCAAAGGAUUUAUAAGUU